rnacentral:rRNA from 1 species
AUUGAACGCUGGCGGCAGGCCUAACACAUGCAAGUCGAGCGGAUGAAGGGAGCUUGCUCCUGGAUUCAGCGGCGGACGGGUGAGUCAUGCCUAGGAAUCUGCCUGGUCGUGGGGGAUAACGUCCGGAAACGGGCGCUAAUACCGCAUCCGUCCUGAGGGAGAAAGUGGGGGAUCUUCGGACAUCACGCUAUUAGAUGAGCCUAGGUCGGAUUAGCUAGUUGGUGGGGUAAAGGCCUACCAAGGCGACGAUCCGUAACUGGUCUUAGAGGAUGAUCAGUCACACUGGAACUGAGACACGUUCCAGACUCCUACGGGAGGCAGCAGUGGGGAAUAUUGGACAAUGGGCGAAAGCCUGAUCCAGCCAUGCCGCGUGUGUGAAGAAGGUCUUCGGAUGGUAAAGCUCUUUAAGUUGGGAGGAAGGGCAGUAAGUUAAUACCUGGCUGUUUUGACGUUACCAACAGAAUAAGCACCGGCUAACUUCGUG